rnacentral:misc_RNA from 1 species
AAUGUGGCAGAGAGUCGAUUCAAGUAAGGCUUCUUGCUACUAUGAAGUUAUUGAUUCAUAGUGUAUUUGCUUUUAUUGUCAACACUUGUUUGUCAAUUCUUUGGUUUGAGGCCAUUUGCACAAUGGCUUUAUCAUUGUUAGUUUUGUUUGCUGAAAGCAUGCAGUUGUAGUUUCUCAUAGUUGGACAGUUUGACCUCGAGUUCUGCUAGAUUUUUUUUCUGACUUUGGUGGUCUACUUGUUAAAAAUAGGCCUAUGUAACCAUCUGAAACCUCAUUUUCUUUUCCGAGCAUCCACAGUGCAUUUCAUUCUAUUUAUUAAUUUCCUGAGGGAUGUACCUGAUGAGUGUUGUUUGCUGUUUUAUGUGGAUAUAUACAAAUAACAAUGUUUAGAAUGUCCAAAAUAUUGCUUUGAAUAUUGUUUAAAAGAAAACUCUUUGAAUAAAAUGCAUGAGAAGAAG